rnacentral:rRNA from 1 species
AGUCGAGGGGUAUAGUUCUUCGGAGCUAGAGACCGGCGCACGGGUGCGUAACGCGUAUGCAAUCUGCCUUUCACAGAGGGAUAGCCCAGAGAAAUUUGGAUUAAUACCUCAUAGUAUUAUGGAAGGGCAUCCUUUUAUAAUUAAAGUCACAACGGUGAAAGAUGAGCAUGCGUCCCAUUAGCUAGUUGGUAAGGUAACGGCUUACCAAGGCAACGAUGGGUAGGGGUCCUGAGAGGGAGAUCCCCCACACUGGUACUGAGACACGGACCAGACUCCUACGGGAGGCAGCAGUGAGGAAUAUUGGUCAAUGGGCGCAAGCCUGAACCAGCCAUGCCGCGUGCAGGAUGACGGUCCUAUGGAUUGUAAACUGCUUUUGUACGAGAAGAAACACUGAUUCGUGGAUCAGCUUGACGGUAUCGUAAGAAUAAGGAUCGGCUAACUCCGUGCCAGCAGCCGCGGUAAUACGGAGGAUCCAAGCGUUAUCCGGAAUCAUUGGGUUUAAAGGGUCC